UACAGAGGUCUCAAGCGUUGUUCGGAUUCAUUGGGCGUAAAGGGUGCGUAGGUGGCGCUGUAAGUCGGGUGUGAAAUUUCGGAGCUCAACUCCGAAACUGCAUUCGAUACUGCGGUGCUUGGGGACUGGAGAGGAGACUGGAAUUCAUGGUGUAGCAGUGAAAUGCGUAGAGAUCAUGAGGAAGACCAGUGGCGAAGGCGGGUCUCUGGACAGUUCCUGACACUGAGGCACGAAGGCCAGGGGAGCAAACGGG
rnacentral:rRNA from 1 species